rnacentral:misc_RNA from 1 species
GAUGAAGAACGCAGCGAAAUGCUAUAAGUAAUGUGAAUUGCAGAAUUCAGUGAAUCAUCGAAUCUUUGAACGCACAUUGCGCCCCCUGGUAUUCCGGGGGGCAUGCCUGUUCGAGCGUCAUUUCACCACUCAAGCCUCGCUUGGUAUUGGGCAACGCGGUCCGCCGCGUGCCUCAAAUCGACCGGCUGGGUCUUCUGUCCCCUAAGCGUUGUGGAAACUAUUCGCUAAAGGGUGUUCGGGAGGUUACGCCGUAAAACAACCCCAUUUCUAAGGUUGACCUCGGAUCAGGUAGGGAUACCCGCUAAACUUAAGCAUAUCAAUAAGCGGAGGA